rnacentral:rRNA from 1 species
UACGUAGGGGGCAAGCGUUGUCCGGAUUUAUUGGGCGUAAAGCGUGCGCAGGCGGUUGUGCAAGGCAGAUGUGAAAUCCCCGGGCUCAACCUGGGAACUGCAUUUGUGACUGCACGGCUGGAGUGCGGCAGAGGGGGAUGGAAUUCCGCGUGUAGCAGUGAAAUGCGUAGAUAUGCGGAGGAACACCGAUGGCGAAGGCAAUCCCCUGGGCCUGCACUGACGCUCAUGCACGAAAGCGUGGGGAGCAAACAGG